rnacentral:rRNA from 1 species
GCUUAACACAUCAAGUCGAACGGCAGCACAGAGGAGCUUGCUCCUUGGGUGGCGAGUGGCGGACGGGUGAGUAAUGCAUCGGGAUCUACCCUGACGUGGGGGAUAACCUCGGGAAACCGGGACUAAUACCGCAUACGUCCUACGGGAGAAAGCGGGGGACCUUCGGGCCUCGCGCGGCAGGACGAACCGAUGUGCGAUUAGCUAGUUGGCGGGGUAAUGGCCCACCAAGGCGACGAUCGCUAGCUGGUCUGAGAGGAUGAUCAGCCACACUGGGACUGAGACACGGCCCAGACUCCUACGGGAGGCAGCAGUGGGGAAUAUUGGACAAUGGGCGCAAGCCUGGUCCAGCAAUGCCGCGUGUGUGAAGAAGGCCUUCGGGUUGUAAAGCACUUUUAUCAGGAGCGAAAUCUGCAUGCUUAAUACGUGUGCAGUCUGACGGUACCUGAGGAAUAAGCACCGGCUAACUUCGUGCCAGCAGCCGCGGUAAUAC